AUCCAGGUGAUGAUGCAACAAAGACGACCACAAGUCCACCUGUAAAAGAGGAAUCAGGGAACUCAGGUGGUAAUAAUCACAAAGUCCUGGUCUCCGUCUCUGUGGGGGCUGCAGCUCUGGUGGCGAUCACACUGGGACUCGUCGCAUGGAGGAGAACUAAAGGGAACAAAACAAAGACGGAUGACGAGGCGGCCGACCCUGAAGGAGGCGUGGCCUACGCCUCCGUCAGCUUCACCAAGAACACCGCCGGCAGAGCCCAGGCUGCCCUUCAUCCUGAUGAUGAGGAUGAAGGUGACGCAGUGACCUACACCACCCUGAAACCCCCCCGUUCCUCCGCUGCAGCUGACCCCGGCGACCUCUACGCCACCGUCAACCGACCAGCCAGAUAAGAGGUCACAUGACUGUAGCGUGGUGAAGACGUGUUGAUGUUUGCAGUGAUGCAUUGUGGGAGUUCAGGGAAGCAGACGCUUAGAGACACAUGCAUUCGUUAUACUGCGUCCCUGCAGACACACAAUGACGCUUUAGGACUUCUUGGCAUUUAUUGUGUCACCAUUUAAGUGAAUUUUGCUGUUUUAGUUGUUAAAUGUGAUUCUGUCGUGUUUUAACUGAGUAAAGUUUUCAGCUUACUGGGAUAGAAAUAAAUUUUGAGCUUAAUUCUUAUUGUUUCAGCAUUUUAAUUUCAAAUAAAGGUUGAAUGAAAAGUGGAUUGUUGGCUUUAUUAAAAU